CUGAAAGAAAUAAAGGCUGCACAAAAAACGAACGACAUUUCGGUGUUUGCAACAACUGAGUUCGUGAAGUGCUCAGCACCUCUAUCUAUAGGCGUGUGCCAGCGCUUACGUCCGCCUCCGCUAACCGACCGGAUGACAGAAAUGCUAGGAAUCACUAUCACACUCUCUUAUGCUUUGUGCACACCUACAUAUAUUCAUGUGUAAAUAGUGCUCUGGUCCACAGUGGCGGUAUGUGAUGUGGAGCUCGCGCUCAUAAUAUGCUCCCUACGUUCGUUGAUUUUGAUUGCGCACUCUCGAGCACUUGUUGAGCGCUGCUGAAAAUCUAUGUACUAAUGCUAUGUUCGCGAACUUGAAUACUUAAAUACUCUAAUGCAUGUACGUAUGUGGGUGAGUGUGUGUAAAUAUAAGAAAAGGACCGGCAUUGGCGUUGUGCAAAGCAAAAGGCGUUGAUAUUGGCAAUGGAUCUUAAGAAUUAUUGAUGGAGAAAAGUGUACUAAAAAAAGUAGCAAGAGAGCUGUGCUAAGUCUAUUAAAAUGUAGGCAUUCUCUGCACUGCAGAUCACGGCGUAUGCCAACUCGAACUUCGUAGAAAUCCUCUCUACUUUAUCAAUAUGACAUAUGCGGGUAUUUCAAAUAUUUAAUGUUCAAAUUCUUAUAUGAUUUUAUGUGUACAAAUGUGUGUAUGUAAUUACAAAUAUACUUAUAAUAUUAUGUAUAAGUCUAUCUAUGCUAU